GACGAACGCUGGCGGCGUGCCUAACACAUGCAAGUCGAGCGAAUGAAGUUCCUUUGGGAACGGAUUUAGCGGCGGACGGGUGAGUAACACGUGGGCAACCUGCCUCAUAGAGGGGAAUAGCCUUCCGAAAGGGAGAUUAAUACCGCAUAAGAUUGUAGUACCGCAUGGUACAGCAAUUAAAGGAGCAAUCCGCUAUGAGAUGGGCCCGCGGCGCAUUAGCUAGUUGGUGAGGUAACGGCUCACCAAGGCGACGAUGCGUAGCCGACCUGAGAGGGUGAUCGGCCACAUUGGGACUGAGACACGGCCCAGACUCCUACGGGAGGCAGCAGUGGGGAAUAUUGCACAAUGGGGGAAACCCUGAUGCAGCAACGCCGCGUGAGUGAUGACGGCCUUCGGGUUGUAAAGCUCUGUCUUCAGGGACGAUAAUGACGGUACCUGAGGAGGAAGCCACGGCUAACUACGUGCCAGCCGCCGCGGUAAAAC
rnacentral:rRNA from 1 species